rnacentral:rRNA from 1 species
UGGGGAAUAUUGCACAAUGGGCGCAAGCCUGAUGCAGCCAUGCCGCGUGUGUGAAGAAGGCCUUCGGGUUGUAAAGCACUUUCAGCGAGGAGGAAGGUGGUGAACUUAGUACGUUCAUCAAUUGACGUUACUCGCAGAAGAAGCACCGGCUAACUCCGUGCCAGCAGCCGCGGUAAUACGGAGGGUGCAAGCGUUAAUCGGAAUUACUGGGCGUAAAGCGCACGCAGGCGGUUUGUUAAGUCAGAUGUGAAAUCCCCGGGCUCAACCUGGGAACUGCAUUUGAAACUGGCAAGCUAGAGUCUCGUAGAGGGGGGUAGAAUUCCAGGUGUAGCGGUGAAAUGCGUAGAGAUCUGGAGGAAUACCGGUGGCGAAGGCGGCCCCCCUGGACGAAGACUGACGCUCAGGUGCGAAAGCGUGGGGCAGCAAACAGGAUUAGAUACCCUGGUAGUCCACGCUGUAAACGAUGUCGAUUUGGAGGUUGUGCCCUUGAGGCGUGGCUUCCGGAGCUAACGCGUUAAAUCGACCGCCUGGGGAGUACGGCCGCAAGGUUAAAACUCAAAUGAAUUGAC